rnacentral:tRNA from 1 species
CAAGAGAUAGCUUACUAUUUAAAGCAUUCAACUUACAAUUGAAAGACGUUUAUGAUAACUCUCUUGA